GGGGGGGGGAUUGGGGGGGGGUUGCCACCACCACCAGACUAGGUUUUGUUUGUUUGCUUUUUGAGACAGUGUUUCCUCUGUGUGGACCUGGUCGUCCUGAAACUUGCUCCAUAGGCCAGGCUGGUCUUGAAUUCAGGAAUCAGCCUGUUUCUGCCUUCCAAACUCUGGGAUUAAAGGCACACACCACCACACCUGUUUCCCUAAAUUGGUUUCCAGAUAGGGCAAGCUGACCUUGAACUCACCGUGUAGCUGGAACUCCUGGCAACCCUUCUGCCUUAGCCUCCAGAGUGCUGGAGUGAUCGGCACAAGCCUCUGUGUCUAGUGAGUUCCAGAGGCUUGGAGCUUAUGCCGGAGACCGAGGCAGGUGACUGGAGCAGCAGCUGAGAGUUCACGUCUUGAUCUGCAAGCAGCAGGCGGAGAGCUAACCGGGAAUAGGGUGAGUCUUUUGAAACCUCAGAGCCCACCCUCGGGGACACAUCUCCAACAAGGCAAUACAGUUUCACCAACUGGGGACGAGACCCUCACAGAUGGUUCAGCAGUUAAGAGCACUGGCUGUUCUUCCAGAAGACUGGGGUUCAAUUCCAAGCACCCAUAUGGUGGAUCGCAGACAUCUCUAACUUCAGUGCCUGGGGGUUCUAUGCUGCCCUCUUCUGGCUUUUGAGGGCAUUGGGCAUGCGCAUAAUGCACACACAUAUGCAGGCAAAAUAUCAUACACAUUAAAAAAUAAAAUAAGAUAAACAGGAAGCAUAUGCAGAUUGGAGGUGUCUUCAAGCAGCAGGCCCACUUUUGGGUGCACGGGUGCAUUGUAUUGUGACUGUGUGACUUGGGUACAUAUAUGUGCUUUGGGGGGGGGAUCUGCUGCUACAUGCUUCCCAGUACUAUGCGGGGGUCAGUGGAGGGUCUGUUUUGUGAGUUGUAUGUGUGAGGGAGAGCUGUCUGUAUGGGUGACCCUGAGCUACACAUCUGAGUUCUGUGAAUCGUUGCAGCAUCUGCGCUGGCUGGUUCUAUACUAAGGGGGCUGGGGGAAGGCACAGGCUUGUCCUUGGUGCUGGCACUGGGUAUCCAUAACGGGCAGGCGGCAUGGUCCUAGGCUGGGAGCUUUAGAGCCAGGCCUGAGUGGUGACUCCUAGGCUGUUGCCCCUGAGAGAAUGACCUCUCUCUGAGCAAUAAUUAACUUGGGCCUGUGAGAAGGAUCCAAACUGUGGAGGUGAAGGGGUGGAGUCUUCUCAGCACAGGAGGAGGGCUGGAAGUCCUAUAGGCAGCUGUGCGGUUAUCAUUUCCUACUGCCCACCCUUCAGGUCAGUCACCCUGACCCAGGAUAACCGGGUCAAAAUAUUUCACAAACACUGAGGCACAGACAUUAACCAAUCAAAACACACCCUAGCCAGACUCUGAAUGGAGCAGGGCUGGAGGCUGUAGCCUAGGUGAUUAGGACAACGGGAAUGACCCUCCGAGCGGAGGAGGGUCCCAGGUCUGGGGCAGGGCAGAGGCACAAUGGAAGGGAACUCAGGGACUCAGGACACAGUGGUUUCAGACUUUAAUAACUGCGGGUGACCAUACCAUAGUUAAACCUCUGCCUGCUUCGGCCUCUAAGUUGCUUUUGGGGCAGCUCUGGCUGCUUUGUUCCCUGGUGCUGGGAGAGUAAAGGACCAGUAUCUUCUGUCAAUUGCAGGAAAGGGGUACUCCGAGGGUCAAGAAUUCUUGAAAGUAAAGUGGUCUUGUUUACUUUGGGAAUGGGGGCAUUUCUGUGAUUAGCUGCAAUCCCAAUAUCUCCGAGGUAAGAGACGAUCUCUAGGGGACAGUAACCUGGAGACAGUAACCUGGAGAUAGGGACAGAAAGUCCCUCUGCUCAGGGAGAAGGGCGCGAAGGUGGCAGAAGUGAGAAGAGGCUUUCUGGUGGCUUCUCAUUCAGCUGUAAAACAGAGCUUAUCCCUAGCACUGACAUCACCAUCCUGUCCUAGAACAUUAAGGAGCUGGUCUCUGGUUCCUUUCCAGGAGUCCCCUCUGGCAAGAGUAGAGUGCACCCUGGAGAUUGGCUCGUCCCUUCUACAGGCAACUAUGGUGUCAGUUGGUCACACCUUUUAUUACAAAAAUCAAUAACUUAGUUUAGUUCUAUACAAAGUCAGGAGGAGUUCUGGCUUGAUGUAUUACAGCCUUAUUCAUGCUCCCAUCCCUGGCCCUGGCCCAGAAGUUUUGGGGGGCUACCAAGGGCCUAUUAGGCAGUUAGUAGCACAUUGUGUCCAAGCCAAGGAAGUCCAAACUGGGGCUGUGGCUGAAGUGAGGGCUACAUCUGGGGAGUUGAGCUCCUCCCCUUUGGAAGCUCCGGACCCCACUCUGCAGGUCACCGCAGCAAAAGCAUGUCUUCGAGCAGUUCAGUGAUGUCAACAUCUCCGAUGAUA